rnacentral:rRNA from 1 species
UACGUAGGCAGCAAGCGUUGUUCGGAGUUACUGGGCGUAAAGGGUGCGUAGGCGGCGCGGUAAGUCGGGUGUGAAAUCUCGGGGCUUAACUCCGAAACUGCAUUCGAUACUGCCGUGCUUGAGGACUGGAGAGGAGACUGGAAUUUACGGUGUAGCGGUGAAAUGCGUAGAUAUCGUAAGGAAGACCAGUGGCGAAGGCGGGUCUCUGGACAGUUCCUGACGCUGAGGCACGAAGGUCAGGGGAGCAAACGGG